GCCGGCUAGCUCAGUCGGUAGAGCAUGGGACUCUUAAUCCCAGGGUCAU
rnacentral:tRNA from 1 species